UCUGCAGCAAGGGGAUAAGAGAGGGCUGGGGAGAAACCAGCCCAGCUUGAGCCCCAGGAAGCAGCAUCACAGGCAGCUCCACCAUGGCCUGGGCCCCCUUCUUCUUCUGGCUGCUGGCUCACUGCCUAGACUGUGUGGCCUCUUACACCCUCACUCAACCUCCCUCAGUGUCUGUGACUCCAGCACAGACAGCCAAAAUCACAUGCUCUGGAGAUGACUUGGGGAAUAAUUAUGCAUCUUGGUACCAGCAGAAGCCAGGCCAGGCUCCUGUGCUGGUCAUCUAUGAAGAUAGCGAGCGGCCUUCAGCGAUUCCUGAUCGAUUCUCUGGAUCCAACUCAGGAAAUGUGGCCACUCUGACAAUCACAGGAGUACAAGCUGGAGAUGAGGCUGUCUACUACUGUGCUAUAGCACAUGGCAGUGGUAGCAGCUUUCAGUGACUCACAGUGACACAGACAGAUGAGGACUUGC